rnacentral:rRNA from 1 species
GACGAACGCUGGCGGCGUGCUUAACACAUGCAAGUCGAACGGUAAGGCUCCAGCUUGCUGGGGUACACGAUUGGCGAACGGGUGAGUAACACGUGGGUGACCUGCCCUGCACUUCGGGAUAAGCCUGGGAAACUGGGUCUAAUACCGGAUAGGACCGCACCGUGAGGGUGUGUUGGAAAGUUUUUUCGGUCUGGGAUGGGCCUGCGGCCUAUCAGCUUGUUGGUGGGGUAAUGGCCUACCAAGUCGGCGACGGGCAGCCGGCCUGAGAGGGUGGACGGCCACAUUGGGACUGAGACACGGACCAGAAUGCAACGGGAGGCAGCAGUGGGGAAUAUUGCACAAUGGGCGGAAGCCUGAUGCAACGAAGCCGCGUGGGGGAUGACGGGCUUCGGGUUGUAAACUCCUUUCACCAUAGACGAAGGGUUUCUGACGGUAGAUGGAGAAGAAGCACCGGCUAACUACGUG